rnacentral:rRNA from 1 species
GCACAAGCGGUGGAGCAUGUGGUUUAAUUCGACGCAACGCGCAGAACCUUACCAGCCCUUGACAUCCCGGUCGCGGACUCCAGAGACGGAGUUCUUCAGUUCGGCUGGACCGGAGACAGGUGCUGCAUGGCUGUCGUCAGCUCGUGUCAUGAGAUGUUGGGUUAAGUCCCGCAACGAGCGCAACCCUUAUUCAUAGUUACUAACGCGUAAAGGCGAGAACUCUAUGGAGACUGCCGGUGAUAAACCGGAGGAAGGUGGGGAUGACGUCAAGUCCUCAUGGCCUUUAUGUCCAGGGCUACACACGUGCUACAAUGGACGGUACAGAGAGUCGCGAGACCGUGAGGUGGAGCUAAUCUCAAAAAGCCGUUCUCAGUUCGGAUUGCACUCUGCAACUCGAGUGCAUGAAGUUGGAAUCGCUAGUAAUCGCGGAUCAGCACGCCGCGGUGAAUACGUUCCCGGGC